CUGUUAGUCAGUCCAUCCGUCCCUCAGUCCUGUUCUUGUCAUAUCAACUCCUCUAAAACCACACAACAGAAUUUCAUGAAACUUUGUAGAUAAUUAAGCACUGAUAUGAUAAAAUGUGAAACAAUUCAAAAGAGAAAAUCAACAGCCUAUUACAACAAUGAAGAGGGUUGGGGAAUACAGCUACAAACAACAACCACUACACUACAGGUUCCUUGAUAUGGACAGGGGAUACAGCUACCAACAACAACCACUACACAACAUGUUCCUUGAUAUGGACAGGGGAUACAGCUACCAACAACAACCACUACACUACAGGUUCCUCGACAUGGACAGGGGAUACAGCUACCAACGACAACCACUACAGGUUCCUCGACAGGCACAUAAUCAGAUUGUAAACAGAUCAAUUGUUUAAUGUGAUUGCCAUCAUGUCCUUGCUUAUUUGUUGACAGUUCAGAGAGGCUUGAAAUUAAUGAAUUUAAUAUUGUCUUAAUGCUGGUGAAUAAAACUUUUGAAAUUUUUAGGUCUGCGGAAGUGCAAUUGAUGUUCUUGUGUUUGAUGGAAAAAAUCACUCCCUGUUUGUAGAAUACCUCAUUUAGGUAAGUAAUCAGAUAUACAAGCGUUGGUCGUCUGUCUUUCUUCCAGUGUAAACUUUUUCAGAGAUCUUCUCUGAAAACACCGGACCAAAAAGUGACCUAAAUAAAAAAAAUAAGCAUGUAAAGAUUUAUCUGCAACGAAAAUUUCAAACCAAUCGAACAACCCUAUUUUGAGUUAUUGCUGUGAUCGGGAAGGCCGUGCACCAUGCACAAAUUGUGCAUUUUGACGAGAAAUGGCGCAUAGAGUGGCAAAUGUCAGCGCCAGUGUAUCUAAAUGUGUAGAUCUAUUAAAAUGAAUUUCCGAUCGUGUUUCGUGUCGCUAUAUUUGUGUACAAAACUGUGUUGUGUUCCCUCCAAUGACAGGAGCACCACCUAUAUAUUUUUUGGGCCUUCUCGGGUGUUUUUCUUCAUGUUAAGGAUAGCAAUUUUGCGGUAUAUCUGAUUACCGCAAAAAUGCAAUUAACCAUCAUCCAUGAUCUAAAAUUUUAAAGUAAACAACUUAAAUUUUGUGAAAGUUGGCUAGAACAGACGAGAAUUUGUUUUUUAAAGUUAUAACUACGAGAAAAAUCUGUCACCUUGUUUUAUAGAGUGAUUGUCCCUGAAAAUCAUUUUUUGAAGUGUUUUGCUGUUAUUGAUAAACAUGUAGGAGCUAGGUUAAACGUGUAAAUUACAAAAAUUAUCAGUUGACAUGAUUUUAUUACUCUGAAAAUGUUGAAAAAAAUAUGUCAACCUGUGUUUUUGAGUUAUUGCCCCUGAAUGAUACUUUUUCCCCUUUUUGCCUGUUAUUUAAAAAAAAUAGGAGCUAGCUAUAGGUUAAAAGUGUAAACUAUAAUACGAUCCGCAUGACAAGAUCUUUUUACUCAGAUUUUCCAGUUUUAGAGUUAUUGCCCCUGAAAUAUUGAUUUUUACAGGUUUUUGCCUGCGACUUCUGUCCUCAUGCCUGUCGGACAGUUUUCAUUUGACCUUGACCUCAUUUCACAGAUUAGUGGACAAGGUUAAGUUUUUUGGUCAAGUUCAUAUCUCAGAAAUAAGCAUUUGCUUAAAUACUAUAUGCAAUUGGUCAACUAUAUUUGAUGCAUGAAAUGAUUGUAAGGUGUACAUGUCUGUCUGACAGGGAUCAUCUGACCUUUACCUAAAUUUCAUGGUUCUUAUAUUGUCAAUAUAGUAUUUUAAUGAUUUGGUCUGUUUCUUGUAUACUACUAGCAAAAGAUCAACUAUAUUUGGUGUAUGGAAUGAUUGUAAGGUGUACAUGUAUUUCUGGCUUUGUUUAUCUAACCUUGACCUAUUUUUUGAUUUGAUCAUAUUAAGUUUAUGUGAUACUUGUAGUAAAACUUUAUAUUUAGGAAUAUAAACAUAAAUGGUCAGUAAAGUAGGCGAGAAAUUUCAGCGUAUGCACUCAUAUUUGCAGUUUUUACUGUUAACUAAAAACCUAUAGGAAUUAGGUUAAAUAUGUAAAUUGCAAAAAUUAUCAGCAACACAAAGAGUAACCAGUAUGCGCAUAUAAAAAUCGUAGUUAGCAAGCUAGUGAUAUUUUCACCAGGUGAGCGACACAAAAUAGUGCAGAAGAGUUGACAUAGUCCAUAAGGAUCAGGUAUUUUCAACUGGCAUUAACAUUUAUAACUCAAUGGCAACUACACAUCGUUUUUAUUUUCUAUUUUUAGGUUAUAAUGGAAAAUUGGAAUAGG
rnacentral:lncRNA from 1 species